AAAGCGUCUGUAGGUGGUUUAGUAAGUCUGCUGUUAAAGAUUAGGGCUUAACCCUAGGAAAGCAGUGGAAACUACUAGACUUGAGUGUGGUAGAGGUAGAGGGAAUUCCUAGUGUAGCGGUGAAAUGCGUAGAUAUUAGGAAGAACACCAAUGGCGAAAGCACUCUACUGGGCCAUAACUGACACUAAGAGACGACAGCUAGGGGAGCAAAUGGGAUUAGAUACCCCAGU
rnacentral:rRNA from 1 species